rnacentral:rRNA from 1 species
UGCCAGCAGCCGCGGUAAUAAGGAGGGGGUUAGCGUUGUUCGGAAUUACUGGGCGUAAAGCGCACGUAGGCGGACUGGAAAGUAUGGGGUGAAAUCCCAGGGCUCAACCCUGGAACUGGCUCAUAAACUAUCAGUCUAGAGUUCGAGAGAGGUGAGUGGAAUUCCGAGUGUAGAGGUGAAAUUCGUAGAUAUUAGGAAGAACACCAGUGGCGAAGGCGGCUCACUGGUCCGAUACUGACGCUGAGGUGCGAAAGCGUGGGGAGCGAACAGGAUUAGAUA